rnacentral:lncRNA from 1 species
GGGCUUGGCCGGUGGUACGCCAGAGGCUGCCCAUAGCAGGAAACCCCCGCAGAGGCCAGGGCCUCUUGUUCCACUUGGCAGAGACCCCAGAGAGAGCCAGGGGGCAGCAUCAGAGCCUGGGGCCCUGGCAGGGGUGCCCAAGGGCACGGCAGCUGCAGGUAUUGACAAGGCCAGAAGACGGCCCUCUGUGCAUGCCAUGCUUAAUAAGGUAAUAAAAAGGUAAGAUUAUAAAGAAGGAAGAGGCCUAUCAAGGAAAGAAGGCUCUUUAUUUGCUUUGCUGUCAUGGUAUCCUUCCCAUUCCACUGGCUUCCAGCACAUAUGUGGUAAGUGGCUGAAUGGCAGUAAUAGAAGAAUGAAUGAAGGUUGCAUGAAUUAGGAAAUGAAUUUGCAGUGUCCUCAAUGUUGUUGUAGUCUUGUGAUGGAAAGCAAUCCAUCUUCCUCUCAAGAGGUGUUUAGCUUGUUCUCAAAACCAGAGCUGCUCCUUGGUCUAUAAGUGCUAUUGGGGUGUGGCAGCAACCUGGGGUUGGGAGUCUUGGGCUUUACCUUGAUGUACUGGGUCACAUUAGAUGGUUAGCCUAUAGUUUAUUUGCAUCCACCACUGGUUUGCAUACACAACUGGGCACAUUUUGGGAGCCACGUAAAUAUUCAUGUAUAAAUUAGUCUCCCUAUGCCUUUGAUGCCUCAGUUUCCCUGGUUGUAAAAUAGUAUAAUACACUGGAAAGAUCCUCUUCAGGCCUUCUCCCAAUUAUGCAUGAAAAUACUUUGGCAGGCCAGGAGUGGUGGCUCAUGCCUGUAAUCCCAGCACUUUGGGAGGCUGAGGUGGGUGGAUCAUUUGAGGUCAGGAGUUCAAGACCAGCCUGGCCAACAUGGUGAAACCCUGUCUCUACUAAAAAUACAAAAAAAUUAGCUGGGUGUGGUGGCAGACGCCUGUAAUCCCAGCUACUUGGGAGGCCGAGGUAGGAGAAUCGCUUGAACCCAGGAAGCGGAGGUUGCAGUGAGCUGAGAUCAUGCCACUGCACUCCAGCCUGGGCAACAGAGGGAGACCAAGACUUAAAACAACAACAACAACAACACAACAAAACUUUGGCAGCAUGCUGUUCACAAGAAUGGGACCAGGCCUGUGGAGCUUUCUAAUACCUUCAGGCACAGUCUUUAUAAACACUAGAGAGCAUUACUUUGUCUUUCCUGGAAACUUCUAGGUGUUAGGAAGUCCUAGCAGCAGUCCUCAGGGUUCGUAAUCAUCACAUGCCGGUUGCUUAUUCAGCAAUAAUAAGUAACACUGAGUGCUAUGUAAAUAUCGAGCCCUUUCCUAGACGCUUGUGCUUACUUCAUUUAAUCCUCACAACAUGAGGCAGGUAAGUACUAUUAGUAUCCCCAUCUUACAGAUGAGAAAACUGAGCCCCAGAUAGAUUACAUUACUAAGUUUUCCAAGACUUAUAGCUGACAAGUAGAAGAGCCAGGAUAUGAACCCAAGCAAUUAAGCUCUAGAAGUUCUCUUCUAGCCAUUGAGUUGUACUGGUUGUUCUUCAGCAACUGCUAACACAGUAUGAGAGUUUUACAGGAAUCUUGAGCAAGCUUUGCUGGUAAAGGAAAUGUUCUAUAGUUGUCUCUGUAAUUUUUUUUUGAAGAGAUUCCAGUGGGAGAAAGUACAUAGCUAGUAACAGUUCUAUUCUUCUUGUUAAGGGCACAGGCUAGGACAUCAUAGCAGCGUUCUUCACUACAUCAUAAGUCUACUUAUGUUAAUAUAUGUAGCAGCCAUUCUGAAACUCUGCAUUUCUGCUUGUUAAAAAGGAGGUGAAAAAUGACCAACAACACAAACUUCGAGAAGCAUAUGCAAAUACUACAGUUGUAUUCAAUAUCAACUUUUAUUGUAGCUUCCCCAUAAGCAAUUCUGAGAUUAUAAAUACAGUCGUCUCUCAGUAUUGUCAGGAGAUUGAUUCCAGGACACCCGUGAAUACCAAAAUCCACAGAUGCUCAAGUGUCUGAUAUAAAAUGGUAUAGUGUUUGCAUAUAACCUACACACAUCUUCUUGUAUACUGUAAAUCAUGUCUAGAUAACUUAUAAUACCUAUUACAAUGUAUAUGCUAUGUAAACAGUUGUUAUUCUGUAUUUUUUCACUUGUAUUAUUUUGAUUGUUGUAUUGUUAGUUUUAAUUAUUAUUAUUUUUCAAAUAUUUUCAACUCAUAGUUGGCUGAAUCCAUGGAUGUGGAACCAUGGAUACUGAGGGCCACCUGUCAUUGCUUCCAGGUGACUGUUACUUGUUUAGCAUCUGUCACUUUUCUCUUCCACUGCUCACUUUUUUUUUUUUUUUUUCAGACAGAGUCUCGCUCUGUAGCCCAGGCUGGAGUGCAGUGGCGCAAUCUCGGCUCACUGCAACCUCCGCCUCCAGGGUUCAAGCAAUUCUCCUGUCUCAGCCUCCCAAGCUGGGACUACAGGGGCCCACCACCAUGCCUGGCUAAUUUUUGUAAUUUUAGUAGAAAUGGAAUUUCACCAUGUUGGCCAGGCUGGUCUCAAACUUCUGACCUCAGGUGAUUCACCCACCUUGGACUCCCAAGGUGCUGGGAUUACAGGUGUGAGCCACCAUGCCUGGCCUCCACUGCUCAUUUUUUAAAAAAUCUAAAUUUAAGAACAAUCCAUGAAUUACUGGGGCAAUUGCUUUUUUUGACAGAUAAUAUAGCCAUGGAAAUUCCUUCUCAAUCAUUGUUCUGCUGACUAACUCAGGCCACCGUAUUUACUGUAGGCUAAGGACAAUGGGGGUUACAUGGAAGCCACGAUGUCUGUCUUACUGGAGGUUUUCUAUCCAUUGGAGAAACAAGAAUAUGUACAUGGAUAAUUAAAGGAUAGGAUGAAGUAGCAUUUGGUAUGUGUACUGGGGGUGGCACAGACACUAUGCUCCACGGGAAUGAACUAAUGAUGGAGCUGGAGUGGUCAAGGAGAAGGUCAUGGAGGAGGGCAGCUUUACUCCUACUGAAUGGGAUGGGGAGGAUUUUGAUGGGUGCAGAGAAGCAAAAUUGCAUUUCUAGUCUCAUGUGUUAUUGAGGCAGCAUAGUUCAGGGGCUCUAAGAAAAGUUUCUGGAACAAGGCUGCUUGGGUUUAGAUCCUGAUUCUGCUACUUUUUAGCUGUAAAUCUAAAGAAAAGUAGAAAUUUGACUUCUCUGAGGUUUAGUUUUCUAAUCUCUAAGGAGGUAGAAGGAGGAAAAGAGAAUUUCAGUCAGGGUCCCAACAGGAAACAGAUGGUGUCCUCUAAACAGGAUGAUUUAUUUACAAGUAUUAGUGCAGUAACGUGGAGCAGGAGCGGUGAGGGGAGAGGAUAGGAUAUUAUUAUUAGAUCCUUAGGAUUGAGUGGGAAAGAAGGGUCCCUAGGAGCAGUAAGCCCAGUGUGGAGGAAGCCACCUCCAAAGAACAGUGCCCUUCAGGCUGGGGGCAGAACCAGCCUAAAGGAGCAGAGGGAAGGAGCCAGGACAAGCAAACACCUUCAUUGCUCCAUUGCUCUGAUUUUUUGCCUGGCUUCAUCCCUCUUUCCCUAUGAACCCAGGAGCCCAAUCAGGAAGCUACCAUCUUGGGAAAUGGAUGAAACCAUCCAGGUCAGGCUAUCAGGAUAAGAACCUGGAAGAGAAUGGAAGAGUCUGGAUCUGGAGAGGCAGACAGAAAGUGACCCAAGAGGGAACAGCAAAAUGCGAAUGAUGUAUUUUGUUAGGGAAAGGCUUGCUGCUUGACUCUAAGGCAGGGCGACAAUAAAUGUUGGAGAGAGAUGUGGUAGGUUGAGACCCUGGGCUUCCCUGUUUGUUGCCUCCCCAUGGUACUACACACUUUCCUUGAGGCAACUGUCUCUCAGGAACUUCUCUCCUUCUGCAGGCAGCAGUGCCUGUCUACAUCCUUCUAGAGCUGCGUCCCUAGAACCACUUCAGCCUCCUUAGUAGCUGGGACUACAGGUAUGCACCACCAGGCCUGACUAAUUUUGUAUUUUUUUGUAGAGACAGGGUUUUAUCAUGUUGCCCAGGCUGGUCUCGAACUCCUGAGCUCAAGUGAUCCACCUGCGUUGGCCUCCCAAAGUGCUGAUAGACUCUUCCUCCUUCCUUGCCUGUGGUUUUAAGAGCUGCCCUGAUAACUGCAGCCUCGUUGGAUUUUCUAGAAAGAAAGAGAGCUAGAUUUAAAGCUGCUCCCUGAACCAUAAUCUCUGAGCUGUCAUAGAGCCAGGCCAUGUAAUGCUUUGUUGCGGAAAAAAAGCUAAUGUGACUCAUUACAGCCUGAUGCAGAGAUUCCCUCUGACAGACACAUGCGGUAAUGGCUUGGAAUGAACACACUCCUACGAACAAUUGGAAAAGAGACUUCGCAUUGUUCUUUUAGCCCAUAAUUGGUUAGCUGUAAAAAAGGACUGCAUUGGUCGUACUACACAUUUCCACUCUGAACAAUGCCUUUAUUGGAUCAACUUAAAUAUAUGAGGAAUGAAGCAACCCAAUGUCUGUAUGUAGGUUUGAAAAACCAAGGUGUCCCUACAGCCAAGCCUUUAGGGGGUGCUGCUCUAUUGCCUAACAGUUGUGUUUAUGUUUCUCUUGCCAUAUUGAGCUUGACUCUCUCUUUCUACAUAAUGUUUUGGGGGGUAAAGGACUGUAGGGCUUGGGGACAAGCAGAAAAUUACCCAUUAGCAACUAUCUCCAUGAACAGAUGCAUUUGCCCCCUUCCCCGCCCUUACAGACAGAGCUUGAGAGGAAGAUACCCACCAAGGGAAAGUUCUGAAUUACAUCUGUCUUGAAGUUUUAAUUCUUUUUUCUUCCAGGUGCUAGUUCUGAGCCAUUAAGCCCCAAAUCAAGGGUGGUACUGCUUCCUUAGAGAAACAAUGACAUGGCAAGACAUUAUAUUUCUUUCUAGAAAGUCAUGCAUUCAUGCUCCUCUUAUCCAAAUUGUAGGCCACUGAGAAAGCUGGCUAAUUGCAAAGGGGCUGGAUUUCAGGGUGGGAAGAGUGAAUGGGCCUUAUUUUCUGAUGAACACAGAUGAAGUUGCAAUUUGCCAUCUUCAAUCAACAUCAUCGGGAGGCAUCAGCAAAGGCCACCCACUAACUGUGUUUUUGUAACAGAAAUCUGAGAUCCCUUCAUAUGACAGUUCUCAAGGUCAGCUUUCUGUGUUUUUCCAUAGUGUCCUGCACUUAUAGGAUGAUCUCAGAUGAAUUUGAAUUGGUCUUCAAUUUUGCUUUUGGAUGCAUAUAAAAUAAUUCCUUUUGAAACAAUACCCUCAUGAUUAAAAAACCACUGCAGCUAAAAAUAUUUAAAUCAGGAAGAAUCCCAAAUAAAGAACUUGGCAAAACACAUAAGAUAUGACAAAAUUUUUGCUGGCAGAAUAUAAAAUAGAUAUCAAAAGACUAAACUACACAUACGGCACCAUGAAGUGCUAGAGUUUUGCUUGGUAUCGUUUUGCCCAAGAUGUUUAUACAUCUCUAUGUAACUGCAGCUAAUCAUAUAAAUUCUUUGUUUCAGUUUGAAAUCUGCUCAGGUUGACACCUCCACUUUUGUGUUGAUUUUCUCCCAUCUUCUGAUCUGUCUGCCUUUUUUAUUUCUAAAGAAUAAAUUAUUGGCAGAGCAUGGGCUUGAGAAGCAGAGUUUUGAUUCUCUUUAAUUUUUUUCUUCUUUUCCUCAUCUUCCUGUGCUUAUCUCUGGCAACCCCUGAUCUUAAACUCCAGACUUAACUCACAUUAUCUCAAUAAACCCUUCUUGUUUUAAUUCCCUGUCAGACUGAUCUUUUCCUUUCCUCCCUCCUUCUUUUCCUCUCUAUUUUUUAUUUCUUUCCCUAGAUGUCCUCCAUUUUAUGGGUCAACUAUAAAUUAUAAACUGACACAUAUCAUGGGUGGAUUGUUCUGCUUGGUGGGCAAGGUGGUCACAACAGAUUUCAUGACAUCAGCUUUUCCACUUAAAAGGGAAAGGCUUAUCCUAAAACUAGGACCAUUCUUUUCUUUUUGUUAAGACUUUCUCUGCCCAAUUUCACUUUGGGCAAAGGAAAGUGUAAACAGUGAUCAUGGCUGUUAUCCUCUCUCUACCCAAAACAGGGAAGCUUCACUCAUGUUUUUGUUUGUUUAUUUGCUUGUUUUUUAGAGAUAGGGUCUCAAAAGAAAACUUCAGCCCAGCUUGAAGUCCACUAGUGCAAUCACGGCUCACUGCAGCCUCGAUAUCCUGGACUCAAGCCAUCCUCCCACUUCAGCCUCCCUAGUAGCUGGGACUACAGGCAUGCACCACCAGGCCUGGCCAAUUUUGUAUUUUUUGUGGAGACAGGGUUUUGCCAUGUUACCCAGGAUGGCCUCAAACUCCUGAACUCAAGUGAUCUGCCUGCAUUGGCCUCCCAAAGUGGUGAGAAUAUAGGCUUGAGCCACCAUGCCUAGCUUCACCAAUGGGUUUUGAGGCUUUUGGGUAGACAGAGGUGAUCCAUGACAGCAUUGGGAGUUUCUAUAGGAAGCAUUGUUUGGGAGACCAGAGGCCAGGAGCAUGAGGAUGCCAGGGUGUGGCAAGGGGUUCAUCUCACUGUCUUUAUUCCAUUCAGCACCGGCGUCCCCCAGAGUAAUAAGAGCUGUGAGCAUCUCCAGGGCAUCUGUCCAGGGAGAGCUCUCCUUCCUCUCUCAGACCUCACCACCCUCUGACUCUCUACUUCCUGGCAGCUUCUGUAUCGUUCUUAAUGUGGAUGUGAUCCCAUGGUUGAGGUUUAGGGGUUUUUAGAUCCCUAGAUCUCACAGGGGCUGCUGUCACCUAGGAGCAGCAACAUUUUCGAAUAUUUUCCCUUUAGCAAAAAUUAUUCAGUAUCCUCCCCCUAUUUUUUCUUUCCUAGGGAAAUAACUCUAAUGUUAAAACAAUAGAUCAUUGGUUUCCAUCUAGACCUGACUAGAUUCCUCCUUCCUGUGAUUUCAUAUCUCACUUUUUCUGAGUGUUCAGCCCACAGUGAUUUUUCUAUUUCCAACUCCCAUAGAGGAUACUAGGUCUCCCUGAGGGUGGGCACUGCUUCUUAUUCUUUGUGAAUCCCCAGAAGUGAGCAGAGGGCAUGCCACUUGACUGGAACUCCAUAGUACCUUCUGGAAUUCACCAUGCACUGAUAGUGCAACUAUUUUUUUUUCACAUAAAUAUGUUUUGCUUUUCAGCUAGAUUUCAACUCCCCGAGAUUACUGCACCAUGUAACCACCGCAGAGUGUGCUGUUCUUUGGAUGGAGUUAGGUGCUCAUUAUAGACUUGUUUUGAUAAUCAUGACUAAACAUCACAAAUGUUUUACUGAAAUCUUUCACUGUGUCAGAAGUGUGAUGGGCACAUAGGAUAAAACAUGAAAAAACUUCCUGUUUUUUAGGAAGUCAAGUUAUAGCAUCAUAAUAAUAACAAUCUAGUUUUACUUACUAGAUCCAUGAGGUCUGGCAGAGAUACUAAUCUUAGCAAAUACCCAUUGAUUUAAUCACCAUUAUGUAGACCUGAUUUUGGAAGCACAGUACCGUAUUGUCAUCUGAUCGCCUGGCAUGUUCAUGUAAGGCUGGGAUUGAAUUGUUUUUGAACUGCCAUGAGUCAUGCCAAUGAGCUGCAUGCACUAUUUCUCAUUUAGUGUCUUGCCCAUCUAAAUUCAAACCAACUGUCAACACAGGCUCUGUGCUGGGCACUGGACAAAGAGAGAGCAUAUGUAUUUGACACAUUACUAAUUCUCAAGGGCUCACAACUGGGACUUACAUCAACACUGCUUACCCCUACUAGGAGGCAGACUGCUAAAUUCAAGAAUAGAGAUAAAAACGUAGCAUUACUGGAGUGAUUAAUUUUGACUGCAGUGAUUCUGGCAGACUUCACAAAUAAAUUGACAUUUGAGUUGGCCCUUGAUAUUGGAUUUUGACAGGCAGAGAUGGAAGGAAAGAGCAACCCAGGCAGGUGAAACAGAAUGAAAAAAGGCACGAAAAUGUGAAAGUUUCUUCCCUAAGUAAGCAGUGGAGGCAGAAUACUUGGGCAUGGUUUGAAUAUAGAUUUUCUAGGGCUGCGAAUGACCCAAAUCAGGGGCUGCCGUGGCAUUUUCCAGGUCAAAUUAGGCCACUGGCCAAGAUUUAUUUGGCCUAGCACAAGGUUUUCCAUUUUUCUGACUUGCUGCCAACAUUUAAAAAUCAGGAGUUUUCACAGACACAUUUGGAUUCUGGCUGCUCUUGAAGAAAAUCUAACAAUAGAGGGUCUGCAUUUCCUCAAGGCAGCAACUGGCUGGCACUGAGUAAUGGCUGUUCUUUUUAAACAGGCAAGAGCUCUUCAGCUUGUGACCAUCCUAACUGGCCUCAAUCAAAUGACACAGGCAGGUGUUUGAGUUUGUGCCCUCUGACCUAAAAGCUUUACUGACUCCUGCAUGCUGGGAGAGGUGGUGUCGAUUGCAGGGAGCUUUAUGCAGUGGUUGAUUAAACACACAUCUGGAAGACUCUUGGGAAUUGGCAGACUCUUCAAGGAAGAGAAAGUAUCAGGAAGUCAUCCCAGCUGCUGCUCUGAGGAAUCUUGCUUGUCUAAUUAGAUCUUAGGCUGGCACACCUGGUGGAUUUUUCGAGGCAGGGAAUAAUGACCCUCACAGUUUAAAAGAUCUCUUUCCAUGGCAACCCACAAUGCUUUAGUCAAUUUGAGAGCUUGUUAGCAUCACGUCUCUAGUUUAUCUUUCCCUUAUAAGUGAGUUUUCUUUCUUUCUGAAUUGCAUACUGGUGGCAUGCCAACAAGAAUCAAAAUCCACUUUCAGAACAAAGGAGGAAAUAUAUAUGUGUUUUUUCUCUUUAAUUUCCUUUGUUCAGCUCUUAUGCCAGUCCGAUAUUCCUACUUCUUGGACCUUUGUGAGCCAACCUUUUAUUUCCCUUUUUCUUAUGGAAAAGUGCACUUUGAUUGCACUGGUGCUUAUGAACCAAUGCAGGAAUUUUUUUUUUUUUUUUUUUUUUUUAGACAGAGUCUUGCUCUGUUGCUCAGGCUGGAGUGCUGGAGUGCAGUGGCUUAAUCUCAGCACAUUGCAGCAUCUGCCUCCCAGGUUCAAGCGAUUCUCCUGCCUCAGCCUCCUGAGUAGCUGGGACUACAGGCACGUGCCACCACCCUACCCGGCUACUUUUUGUAUUUUUAGUGGAGAUGGGGUUUUGUCUUGUUGGCCAGGCUGGUCUUGAACUCCUGACCCUAAGUGAUCCAUCUGCUUCGGCCUCCCAAAGUGCUGGGAUUACAGGCAUGAGCCACAGUGCCUGGCCAAUGCAGGACUUUUUAAUACAAAUGCAUGUGAAGGCCCUCAAAUGCAAACACACAGAAACAUACGUAACAAAAUGCACUUGUUUAUGUACUGUGUACACACAGAGACCUGUGAGCUCUUGCUCAUAUACAAACUUGCUCUGUGCCUGAUGCCUAUUAGGAGUGAGAGGUUCCUAACUGACAUAACCUUCUUUUCAGAAGAAUAAAAUAGAAGGUUACUGAGUCUACGAGCUAAUCUGUCUAAUUAGAUGCCUCUGAGCAAAAUGCAUAAAAUUUGCAUGAAUUAUCUUAACAUGCAAAGAAUAGGAUACUGGGAGGAAAACCCAAGAAAAUUUGCAUUUUGAUGGGGGUGGGGGAAGUUUGAGGGCUAUCAUAUAGAAGAUCCUUUCUUUUAUGUUUUGGGACUCAGUUCAAGAGGAGCUGCAGUGGGCUGACUAACAUCAGCAAAGACAGCCCGUAUAUCCUUGGGCUCUGCAAGCAGUUACUCCAAGUCUUGUCUGCAGACUGUACAGUGGAACAGCCAUCCAACCCCAACUGGGGAAACUUCAUUAAGGCAGUGCAAAGUAAUCAGUUUCAGUCCUGGCCUCUGGCUGGCUUGAAGGACAAUCCCUUCUCAGCUGUAGGUGGCACUGUUGUAUCUAUUGUAAGAAGCGCUGUACUUCGGCUAGCUACAUCACUGCUAUUUAAAAUGGAGGAAAAAGAGAAAAAAAAUAAAAUCCAACUCCCUCUUCCUCCUUGUCCCACUCCAUCUCCUAACAUGCACUGUACACCCUACCUGGGCAAACCUCCUCCAUGCCACCCAGCGGACAUUAUAUGUUGUUUAAGCUUAUAUGUUUUGUUUAAAAUCAGUGGUUCUCUUAGGCCCUUUGCAGUGUAUGUGCAAUUUAGCUCUGGGAUGUUUCAUCUGAAGCUCAACUGCCUGAGAUGAUACUUGCUUCUCCCCAUUCUCCUCCCCUCUACCCUCCCUAUUUUUCCUUUCCCUGCUAUAACUCACAUUCACAUAGUGAUGGGUGGUAUUGGAAGACAGACUGGGGAAUAGUCUGUGUCUUGGACUCUGGAAGAGGCACUGGUUAGUAAUAGAAAUAAAAACCGCAGGAGCUGAGUGGCAGUGUGUGCUGGGGAGAUGGCAACUUGACCGAAAUGGGAGCGUGGGAAGAGAGCCAACUCUUGCUUCUCCCAUUUCAUUCUUUCUGGCAGUUCAGAAAACUGGUUUCCCCUGGGUUGACAGGCUUGGGCCAAAUAUGAGAAUUAAAUUCUGACAUCUAGUUAGAGGUAGUGAGGUUGAGGUGGUGGAAGAAGAACCACUCCUUAGGAGUGCCUCAGCUUCCCCAGUGCUGAGAUGGAACGUUGUACUGACCCAUUAGGCAAAGCCUUAUGGACAAUAUUAAAAUGAUGUGUAUGGGAAAAAAAAGUGAUAGGUUUAGGAGAUGGGAGCUAAUUCUCAAAACAUUGUAGUAUAUAAUGAAAAGACAGAAAAAAUACAAGAAAAAUAGGUAAUAUUUGGAUAGCAACUUAAACUUUGCAAAGUUCUCCCACCCUCAAUAUGAAGCAUCUUCUUUCCUCUCUCAGCAUUGGUAUCCCUGUUUCACAUAGGAAGGCACUGGGUCCAUUCAGUGACUUGCUCAAGGUCAUGGAGGGAGAAGUAGAGCCAGUUCCUAAAACCAGGUUGUCUAACUCCAAGUUCUGCCAUCUCUAGGUAUUUGUUUCAUUUUUUAUUCCCAAAUAAAUACUGCAGUUGAGAAGCAAUACCCAAGUCUAAAGAAUCAACGUUUGAUUCUUGCCACCCAAGAAUCAAAUCAAGAUAUUAUGCUUAAAGCAAUAAAAAGAGGUAUCCAGUCUUUUUUUAUUUGUUUGUUUUUAAUGAAAAUUCUGACUUUACAUUGACUUCAGAAGCAAUAACCUUAGGGUAUCCUCUCUGUUCCUUUGUUAAUUUUGCUGUUUUUUCUUUAGCUUAUAAUUUUAUCUCUUUGAGCCUCAAUGGUAUCCUCUGUAAAACAGGUUGAAUAAACUGUUUCUAAGCUUUGGGCAUCUAGGGAAAACAAAUUAAUGCUUUAUAUGUCACUCAGGGUUCUUUGAAUGAAAAAUUCAAGAUGAGCAUUAGUUUUUAUCAUUGUUUUAAUAGCAGUUUAUUAAGCCAAAACCUUAGGGAAUCAUGUAAGAAUAUAUGAUUUCCUCUGCCUGAUUACAUCUUUAUCUGUGAGUUUUGUAAAAGUUUACAAUGGAUGAAAUAGUACUUAACAGCUUCAUAAACCAAACUGUUAUGCACAAUUAAAUGGUCUUCACUCUUAUUAUCUUAACUAAUGAAUUUUGCCAGGCAUCUCCGUUAUAGCUGUAUGAUUUAUAAAGAUUAUAUUUACUUUUUCUCCUUAUAAGAACCUAAUGAGACCAAAUUGGUUGCAUGUAAUCAGACACUGGCCUUUUUCAUCUCUUCGGGUUUUAUUUACGAAACCUUAUUAGAGCAAACGUACUGAGUAAUAUGCAGCGAUAGCUAGGUUUUGCUUAAUGAUCCAAACAGCCAACAUGGAAUGCAGAUAAUGAAAUGACAGGCUGAUUACAAAUGCGAGGAGAAAAGUAAAUGUGCUCAGAGCCCAUUUCUACAAUCCUUACCUAGGCAGAACACCCAUUAACAUGUUUCAACCUAAGAACACAUACUUCUACAGAGGCCUAAGAUAAGACUGUAACACAUAUCUCAGAAACUGAGGGUUGAGUUGUUUUCCAGCAGUGUAGGAUUGGGCCGAAGUAUUAUGUACAAGUGGUUUGUGUGGGAUGAUUAUGCAGUGGCACCAAAGGUUUGAUGAGCCCCAGUUCAUGAAGGCAAACUGCAGGAGAUAGUUCAUGGAGCUUGCAUUCAACAGCCACUACUAAAAUAAAUAAUAAUUUGGACUAACACGAGUGUUUUCCCUCUUAGAAUCUCUUUUAGUGCUAAAACCUAAUACAAUCUGGAUUGAUAUUAUCCAAGUUAGUAUUAAUCACAUGACAAUCCUCUCUCAAAGAUAGAAGCAGACUACAUUAAGACAUUGCUGGACUGUCUUAGUCCAUUUUGUGUUGCUAUAACAGAAUACCUGAGGCUGGGUAAUUUAUAAAGAAAGGAGGUUUAUUUAGCUCAUGGUUCUGCAGGCUGGGAAAGUACAAGAAGCAUGGUGCUAGCAUCUGCUUGGCUUCUGAUGAGGGCUUUUGUGUUGCUCCAUAACAUGGGGGAGAAGGUCAAAUGAGAAGCAGACAUGUGCAAAGAAGCAAAAUCAUAGGGGGAUUCUGCUUUUAUAACAACCUACGUUUGAAGGAACACUCCGGCAGGAACUAAUCCAGUCUUGUGAGAGCAAGAACUCACUCAACUACUGCAAGAAUGGCUCGAAGCCAUUCAUGAGGGAUCUGCCUCCAUGACCCAAACAUGUCCCAGCAGGCCUUGCCUCUCAACAGUGCCAUAUUGGAAAUCAAAUUUCAACAUGGGUGUGGAUGGGGACAAACUCAAACCACAGCAUAAACCAAGUGCCUAACAUCAGUGCUUUUAUCAUGGCUGUACGUGUUGGAAGCUCUUAAUCCACAAUCUCUUCUUCCUUUCCUUACUGUGAUGUUCCCUUAUUUUAACAAAGCAAAGAUUUACUGUACUUUUAGCAGUAGAACAUGGAGCUGAUUUUUUCUGAUUUGACUUAGAAGGCCCUGAAGGAAGAGGGACAGCCUUAUUGUUUUCCCAGAUGUCACUCUUAAAUAUUUCCAUUCUUCUGUAAUAUUUGACUUUGUAAUGACUUGGCCAUUCAUAAAACUUUCCCAAGCAAUGUUUGAACCCAUUUAUACAUUUAUAUCCUCUCUGUACCAACUGCUGGUAUAAUGCAUUUGGUAAGUUUAUUACCCUUUGGGUGAACAACUUCCUCUAUAAAGUUUCAAAGGGCGUCCUCUCAUACUAGUAUUUUGAGAUUUGGUGAAUAAAUCAAAACAGAAUAAAUCAAAAUCUUAUUCAUGUUAUUGAAGCUUUUGUAGUUUAAGACGAUAUUCCCAAUCUGGUCUUGACAUUUACAGGCAACUGAUACCUCCAGACCUUGGACUUCUGGUUGUUUUGUGUAACAUUCGCUGCAGAAUAUCCCACUAGGAGAAUGCUAUUUGGGGAUUUUCUUAUCCAGGCCCUGUUCUUUAUGUUUGUUUCCUUCACCUGACUAGACUACACUAGUCUAGAAUAACCUAAAGUCAAUGGGGAAAACAGUUAUGGGAUUAGAUAAUGCUACAGGCCACUGUUAUUGUAGAAUGAAGAAAGUCAAGCUCAAAGAAGUAAAGUGACUUGCCCAAGGUCACAGUGCUAGUUAAAAAGAGAUCUGGAUUGGAACUGGACUCUCAGAUAAAUAUUCUUUCCAAGGACUUGCUAAAGGUCAAACUGCUAACUAUUUUUUUGUUAUCCUCAUGUGGUCGAAAGUUCCCAUGAUCAAAAAGUAUUGAGAUUAGAAUCUCGAAGUAGGCUGUUCUUUCUCCAAUGCUCCCUCAUUCCCCAUCAUGUCUUUCAUUCUGGUGAAUGUGUUCUUGGUCACUCUUGCCAGAGACCCAGUGUCUUGGUGCUACUUCCUACCUGCCUAUGGCUUACCGUGUCCACCAUGGUGACCUUUAUGAUCUGUGCUUCUGGCAGUCCCCAUUUGACUUCUCUGCUACUUGCUCCUCUUCUCAAUUCCAUUAACCCACCAUAUGGCCCCUGCAUCAAGACCUCCUACUCUGGUUUUACUACCAUGGCCUUGAUACCCUAAGGACAACAGUCAAACUGGAUAUACCAUUCCCAGUGGAGAUCCCCAGGAUUUCAAAUUCUUAAAUGCUUUUAUCCGCUCUCCUUUUCUUAUUAAAAUCAAACAAAGAGUAAAUGUAAGGGCUGCAUGUGGUGGCUCACUCCUGUAAUCUCAGCACUUUGGGAGGCUGAGGUGGGAGGAUCGCUCAAGGCCAGGAGUUUGAGACCAGCCUGGGCAACAUAACAUAGUGAGACCCCAUCUCUACAAAAAUAUAUACAUAUAUAUUAGCCAGGUGUGGUGGCGUGUGCCUGUAGUCCCAGCUACUCAGGAGGCUGAGGUAGGAGCAUUGCUGGAGAAUUGCUUGAACCCAGGAAUUUGAAGCUAUAGUGAGCUAUGGUCACACCACUGCAUUCCAGCCUCAGGCAACAGAGCAAGAUCCUUUCUCUCAAAAAAAAAAAAAAAAAAAAGAAAAAAGGGUGAAUGUUGAAAAUGUUGUAGAUCUCCAGGAAUCAUGAUCAGUCUAGGAGGAAGAUUAGAUCUUUUCUUUUCACUAUCCAUUGCUUUCUGGUGUUGGCCUGCUCUGUAGCUGAUCCUUUAUACUUGACUCUGGACUUAUCUUUUGCAUAGAGGAGACAGUGCCAUCAUUUUGAUGGUGUCCUUUCCUCCCAGAGGAAUGCAUGGGGUUUGAAAAUGACCAUCCACAUGACAAGACAAGAGCACUCAAGGAAGGGGAAUGCAGAAAACAGAGAAAAGGAAAGGACUAUAGAAGGCUGGCUUUUCCUGGUACCACCUUGUAUUUCUCCUCCCAGUUUUGUCUCAUUUUGUUCUGUUUUAUGGCUUUUAAAUCUCCUUUCUGUGUCUCUCCCUUUCUUCUUACUGUAAUACCCUCCUAGGCACAUUUCUUCUUGAGCCGAAACACAAUUUUUCUGGGUUACACUGUCCCAGAGAAGUUUCUCCUGGUGAACCCCCUCCAAUUCUCCACCAAUUUUAGCUGUCUUGAUAUGUUCUUCCCAUUUGCCUGUUCUGUUUGGGAUUUUGAAUUUGAGGCAAACAUUUACACCUUUUGCAUUUAGAGUAUAUAAGAUGUUAUUUCAGGGCUUGGUGUCCUGUUAUUUUCAUCUGAAGCAUUUGAGCCUAAAAGAAUUUAUUCUCCAAACUUCUUUAUCCACAUUUAUGAGCAUCUUGCAAUAACAAUGGUAGAUGUUAUCAUUUUUAGUUACUUUGUAGAUUGCAAAAUGCAUCUCCAGGCUUGCUUCAUGUAGCUGCUUGACUUGCCUGCUCUGUGUAAAGGUUCCAUGUAUCUGUCUGAUGGUUCUAUCUCUCUUCUUUUGUAAGCUCAUGGCUAGAGAUGCCAUUAAUUCCUUCCACCCUGUUGUCUAGAAAUACUCUGCACACAAUGGACCCUUGAUUUUCUGAAUAGGUUUGUAAGUCUCAGUUGUUAUUUCAAAUGUCCCCACUACAGAUUUAUUCUAAUUUAAGAAAACCCAACACAAACCACUAGAAUUUACAGACACAUAUAUUAUUUGUAUUACACAAUGACUUAUCACUGGACUUUCUCUAAUAGCAAACUUCUUUAGCGUAUUAAAGCUAUUUUUAUUUUAGAAGGCAAUUUAAUUUGUAUGGAAAAAUGCAUGAACUGGAGUCAGUCACAUUGAUUGGAUGUAAUAAGAACACUUGAUUCUUAGAGACAAAUGGCCUGGUAGUAUGUCUUUUGAUCAUAUAGUUAUGUCAUACAUGAAGGUGACUUUGACAUUAUUAUGAAUGGUAAGUUCUCAAUUUACAGAAAUGAAAAGUAUGUAAGGAUGGAUAGUAUAGAAGGAAGGAACAGUGUUCUCCUGGGUUUCAGUCCAGAGCCUAAAAUCUAGAAUCUAUCCUAAAAUGGAUACAUUGGAAAAGAACUGCCGACACACACACACACACAUACACACACACACACACACACACACACACACACACACACAGAGACUAUUCUACCCUCCUCUCCUCUACCCCCACUUUUUCAGGUAGGAAGAGGGCAGCCCCAGAAUCGUGUUGACUUAGCUUGAGGACUUUGCUCAACCUUGCUAGGAUCACUUCCUAGGCUUUGUGAGAUUUGCCCCAGUGAGUUUCACUUUUGCUGUGACCAAGGCACACCUGUUCCCCAGGGCUGGACAAGAAAGCUAUCAGGCCUUCCUGAGCCGGUCCAGCUCCUGGUUCAGCUCAGCCAUGUGGAACCCUCCACGACUCACUUUCCUCUAACUGAAACAGCCAACCUCUCAGUCCCCUCAUUCUCUCUCUCCCACUCUUGAAAGCCAAUUUCCUGCUUCAAUCUUAUUCUUAUGAAUAGAAACACAGAGCUUGCAUGGAGAAUGAGAAACUACUGUAUCAUAGGAAGCAAUCACACAGAACACAAAAAGCCAUUCAAAGUAAUUAAACUACUCCCAUCCCCUUUUCUAUAUUUCUUUUCAGCUCAGCACUGAUGGGCUGUUUAUCUUUGCCACCACAACUGUGGCAGCGGCAGAGGAAACAGCAAGCCAUUUUCUGCAAGGGCACAUGCCGAGAGGGCAGAAUUAAGACAAAUGCUCUCAUUCUUGGCUGCCAAAGCAUUUUAGCUUCUGAAAAGCAAGGGAAGCAAUGCCAUCACCCUGUGAAGAAAUAAAUAAAUAAAGGCCCGGUGGCAAGAGAAGCUUCUGGGUGAUUUUCCACUUGUCAGAGGAAAAGGGGGAUGGGGCCAGUGAAGAUGGGGGUGAGAGGGAGGGGGGAGCUCAUUAUCUUCCAGCCCCUGAAGCUUUUGUUCUCUUCAGCUGUGCUAAGGAGGCUGCAGCUCUGCUCCCAGCUGUGCAGAAUCUUGCAAGCGAACUAAGAAGAGUCUGAGACCAGCAAUAUGACUCCAGCAGGCAUCGCUGCAGGGAGAUGACAGCUGGGCAAGAAAGUGGAGCCCCCAGAUUCCCAGUUAGCAAGACUGAGCUAACAGGGCUCUCCAUGUUAAUACCUGCAUGGAUGCUUUUCCAGUACAGCUGCAGAAAGAGACUGCUGAGAGGUUUGCCUGAGGGCUGUUUGCAAUUUUUUCCCUUUUGUCCUGGCCCCAGACUGUCCAUAGCAGCUGCUGCACCUUGGCGAGCAUCAUGGGGGAGUUUAAAGUUGGAGAAAAAGGGAGGAUCUUAGAGUGGUUCAAUCGCAUCUACUGCUCAAUAUCACAAACGCAUCUUGAAUGUGUUUGUUCUGUUGUGAAAAUCAAUGCUUCUUCAGAAUAGCUGGUGUUGGGACUUCAGUAAGAGAGCUCGAGGAAGUUUGCCUAAAGAAGGGCUUCUGGGCUGUCAGUAAGUCAGGCAGUCAGUCCACAGCUCUUUCUAGGUGGAAACUGAGAGGUGUUACAAAGGACCUACAUGAAAAACCUAACAACCGGUUCUCUGUGGAGAAGCCUGGACUGCUUAGAAACAUAUGCCCCUUAGGGGUGUACUCUCACCUGCUACUACUGCAGUCUACCAGACCUGCUGCUACCUUUUUUGGGGUUUCAAGCAACUUUCCAUCUAAUAGACAACCUAACCCAGCUUGAAGAUUUUUGCAGAGGAUGGUCCAUAAAAUGCCAAAUCAAGCUACAUGGACCAUCUCAGGUUUAUUUGAGGACUAAGUAGCUUGCAUUCCACUCCUGGGCGCUGCCCCACUCUCCACUGCACCCAUAGAUUUACCAUGGUAGAUUUAACUUCCCGGUUGAGGAAAACACCAAUUUCAGAGUAGCCCCAGAAGCCCUGCCUCCUCUCCCUCCCAAGUCCCUGUGGCCUUGCAGGGAGCUGCCUGUUUGGUUUAAUCUGGGGAGCUGGCACCUCUCCCAUUCCCUACUGUCAGGCCUGCACUGUUCAGCAUUCUUGUUUUUGCAUCUGUCAUUAUCUUUUGUAUGCAAAGAGGUUUAAUGUGCAAUAAAUGUAAAUGGCCAGUAUAUAGUCUGUGUUUUAUUAACUUCCAUUUGAGCCUGUUGUCAGUGACUACUCUGCCUUGCCAGGAUUCAUUAGCAAGACCCCCAGCCCUUGGUUUCUGCAACCGCCCAGUGGGUUCCUCUUGCCCACUUCCCAGACAGAAUAGAUUUUUCAAGACAGGGGAAUUGCAAUAGAGAAAGAGUUUUACACAUGUAGAGCUGGCUAAAUGGAGGACUGGAGUUUUAUUAUUACUCAAAUCAGCUUCCUCCAAAAUUUGGAGGCUAGAGUUUUUCAAAGAUAGCUUGGGGCGAGGGUUGGCUAGGGAAUCGGUGCUGCUGAUUGGUUGGAGGUGCAAUCAUGGGGAUGUGGAAAAUGGUAUGGUUCUUUUGCACUGAAUCUGCUUCUGGGUGGGGCCACAAGACAGGUCGGUGGGUCCUGGUGGAGCCAUUCAUCAUCAGAAAUGCAAAACCCCAGAAAGACAUUUCAAGUGGCCAGUCAUAGGUUCUGCAAUUGUGAGGUUAUCUGCAGGAGUAACUGGGGAAGCUGCAAACCUUGUGGCCUCCAGAGUAAUGACUGGUAAUUGUUUAAAUCUACACCUUAGCAGAAUUCAGGCUCCUCAUCCUCCUAACCUGGUGGUCUCUCAUUAGCUUUAUAAACAUGGUUUAGUUUUGGGGAAGGGCUAUUAUUUAAACUAUAAACUAAAUGUCUCCCAAAGUUAACUUGGUCCAAGUCCAGGAAUGAGGGCAGUUCAGAGGUUAAAGACAAGAUGGGGGUAGAUUAGAUCAGAUCUGUUUCACUGUCAUAAUUUUCUUACUACUAUAAUUUUUGCAAAGCUGGUUUCAUUUUCUUUGCUUGCCCUGUCUCAUUUCCAAAAGCUUCUUUGCCCAACUUCUAUUUCUGCAGAGCCCACUGUGCCCUCCUCUAGCUUUCAGGGUGAAGGGUACACACAAACUUUCCAUGGCAAAGUCUUUCUGGGAUGGUUUACUUCAACCAUUACCCAGACUUGACCUAUCUUAUGUGUGACUGUGACAGCAGGUGGAGAACUACUGAAACUAUUUCCUAAAUUUAGGUAAAAUCAAAUGUUGCUACCUAGUCAUGACCAUCAAUCUUUUCUCCCCUACUUAAAUAUUUUUCAAAGAUCCAGUCUUGUAAUAAUUUCACCUGCUUUGCGAAAGUGUUCAAUAUGCUAAAUAAAAAUGAUAAUUCAAUUUAUUCUCUCAGUAGGAAUCCUUGUAAGGUACAGGGGAGAUGGGGUAAUGCCUACCGAAAAAGAAAUUGAGUCUGUGGGGGUAAUGGCAAAAAAUCUCGGGAUUCUUGACUCUCAGGGCAAGUGCAUCGACAUUCAAAUGUCAUUGAGUUUAAUGUGCCUCCUUAAGUACUUACCUGACUACUUAGGAUUGAUUCAAGUAAUGUGGAGACAUUUUAAUUCUGACUUUUGGGUGAAAAUUCAAAGUAGCACAUUCACGGAAAAUGUGUUUUUAUAAUAUCUCCUAAGAGGCUUACCCAGUAAACAUUUCUAAUUUGAGAACCAGAGAACAGUUGCAAGUCAGAUACUGGGGUGGAUGGGGGAAGCACUGUACUGAAACAGUGCAGCCAUCACAAUCAUGGAAGGUUGGGGAUGGCUAUGACUGCUCCAAGGCUGCCGGUAUACACUAGGGGACACAGAGAAUUCACUGCCACAGAGUGCAAAUGUCUUCCUUCCCAGACCUGGCAAUGGCUUCAAGUAAGGGAUUUCAAGUAUUCCUGGAUGGAUUCUUUUAUCUGCUAUUGUAUAAAUGAUUCUAAACUUUUCUGAGUGAAUGUUAAGGAGGGAAAAUGGGUUAGAGAUAUCAGAAGUGUAUGCAGUGCUACAAACUUCCACAAAUGCUGCCUCAAAAAUACUGCAGCCCUCACUGUGGUACUUCUCCAACUCACAAUGGAGUUCCUGCUUCAGAGUUGACAAAAACAAACAAACAAACAAAAACCCCAAAAAGCCACAUUUCAUAUUGAGAUAUAAAUCACAUGGUGUAUUAGUCUGUUCUUAUGCUGCUAAUAAAGACAUACCCAAGACUGGGUAAUUUGUAAAGGGAAGAGGUUUAAUGGAAUCACAGUUCCACGUGGCUGGGGAGGCCUCACAAUCAUGGUGGAUGGCAAGGAGAAGGAAACUCAUGUCUUACAUGGAUGGUGGCAGGGAAGAGAAGAGAACUUGUACAGGGGAACUCCCCUUUAUAAAACCAUCAGCUCUUAUGAGACUUAUUCACUAUCAUAAGAACAGCGUGGGAAGGACUUGCCUCCAUGAUUCAGUUACCUCUCACUGGGUCCCUCCCAUGACCCGUGGGAAUUGUGGGAGCUACAAUUGAAGAUGAGAUUUAGGUGAGGACACAGCCAAACCAUAUCACAUAGCAUACACUGCAACCAUUUGAAGUAUACAAUUAGUUGGUUUUUAGUAACUCACAGAGUUGGGCAACCAUUAUCCAGCAAUUCUAGAACAUUUUCAUUUGCUACUUGUAUCUGGUAGCAGUAACUCCUCAGCCCUUGGCAACUGCUAAUCUAUUUUCUGUCUCUAUAGAUUUGCCUAUUCUAGACAUUUCAUAUAAAUAGAAAAAUUUAAUAUGCAGUCUUUUCUGACUGAUUUCUUUUACUUAGCAUAAUGUUUUCAGGGUUCAUUCAUGCUGUAGCACAUAUUGAUACUUCAUUCUUUUUAUUGCCAAAUAAUAUUCUAUAUAAUGGAUAAACAUUUUAUUUAUUCAUUUAUCAGUUGGUGGACACUUCGGUUGUUUACACUUUUUGGCUAUCAUAAAAAUGCUACUAUGGGGCAGUCAUGGUGGGUCACACCUGUAAUCUCAGCACUUUGGGAGCUUGAGGUAGGAGGAUUGCUUGAGACCAGAAGUUUGAGACCAGCCUGGGUAACAUAGCAAUACCCCUGUUUCUAUAAAAAAAAAUAAUAAUACAAAGUAAAAAUAAAAGUAUAAUGAUUCUAUAAAUAUUUAUGUACAAGUUUUUGUAGGGACAUGUGUUUCCGUAUCUAUUGGGUAUAUGCCUAGGAGUGAAAUUACUGGUUCAUAUAGUAACUCUAUGUUUAGCAUUUUGAGAACUGCCAAACUGUUUAUCAAAGUAACUGUACUGCAUUACAUUUUUACCAGUAAUUCAUGAGGGUUCCAGUUUCUUCACAUCCCACCAAUGGUUUUUUUUUGUUUUGUUUUUUUCUUUUUUGAGAUGGAGUCUCACUCUGUCACCCAGGCUGGAGUGUAGUGGCGCAAUCUCGGCUCACUGUAACCUCCUCCUGCUGGGUUCAAGCGAUUCUUAUGCCUCAGCCUCCCGAGUAGCUGGUGUGCACUACCACGUCUGGCUAAUUUUUGUUUUUUAGCAGAGAUGGGGUUUCACCAUGCUGGCCAGGGUGGUCUCGAACUCCUGACCUCAAGUGAUGCGCCUGCCUCAGCCUCCCAAAGUGCUGGGAUUACAGGUGUGAGCCACGGCACCCGGCCUAAUGCUUGUUACUGUCUGUCUUCUUUGUCCUAGCCAUUUUUGUGGGCAUCAAGUGACACUGCUCUGUGGUUUUCAUUUACAUUCCUCUAAUGGCUAAUGAUGCCAAGCAUCUUUUCAUGUGCUUGUUCGUUUGUGUAUCUGCUUUUGAGAAAUGUUUGUUUAGAUUCUUUGUCUAUUUUAAAAUUGGAUUAUGUUUUUAUUGCUGAGUUGUAAGAGUUCUUUACAUGUUCUGGAUAAAAUUCCUUAUGUAAAAGAUUUGCAAAUAUUUUCUCCCAUUCUGAGGUUGGAUUUUGCACUUUCUUAAGGAUAUUAUUUGUAGCAUAAGGCUUUUAAAUUUUGAAAAAAGAUAAAAAGUUUUCUUUGUUUCUUGUGCUUUGGGUGAUGUAUUCCAGAGAUAACAUUACAGUAUAAAAAACAAAGAGCUCUCAGGUAUAGCAGGGAUACACUGGCAUACAUUUGAGGCAAAAAGAAGGGAAAGGCUACAUGCUAAUUAAACUAAUUCACUUUAUCAUGUAGAUCUGUUUUUACUGAUUUUAUUUUUAUUUAUUUAUUUAUUUAUUUUGAGACAGAGUUUCACUCUUGCCCAGGUUGAAGUGCAGUGGCGCAAUCUUAGCUCACUGCAACCUCUGCCUCCCAGGUUCAAGCGAUUCUCCUGCCUCAGCCUCCUGAGUAGCUGGGAUUACAGAUGUGCACCACCAUGCCUGGCUAAUUUUUGUAUUUUUAGUAGAGAAGGGGUUUUCCCAUGUUGGUCAGGCUGGUCUUGAACUCUGGACCUCAGGUGAUCCACCCACCUUGACUCCCAAACUGCUGGAAUUUUACAGGCAUGAGCCACCCUGCCCAGACUACUGAUUUUACUUUUAAAAGACUUCUAUGGUUACACAUAUUUUAAAUUUAUGCAAAUAUUUUGUUUGUACAUAUUAUAUCUUCAUUUGAGGAGAAAAAGAAGUGUUACCAAUGCUGUUUUAUAGAUUUAAAAGCAUGCUCUAAAUUAACUGUGAUUUAAACAGGGCUUCCCUGUAUAGAACUUAAAGUCCUUCCCUCAUUUUUGUUUUUGUUUCAUAAUAUUCUUAUACAUGAGGAUGAUGAUCUACCACUUGUCCAAACUGUCCUUGGUGGUAAGCUCACUGAGAAGGCUUAGCCCUAUCACUUAUAGAUGACUAUAAGUGCUCAACUUCUUCAUGAUUUGUAGAAGUGGAUCAGACUAGGCAAGAUCAAGACUUGUGCAAAUUAAAUGGGAAAAUUAACAUAAAAAUUAGACUCUUAAACAUUCAAGAGAUUUGCUUUAAUAAGAUUGAGGGCUACCUAUUUUGUUUGUGUCAAUGAUCCUGUGAGGCUAGGCAGCUGAAUGAAGUUAUUUCCAAUUCUUUGUACUAGAGUACAUAUGUUACUCAGUAACAGCUAUCAAGGCAAAAGUAUUAUUUUUUUCUGAAUAAAUAAGAAAUCAAGGCUGGGAGUGGUGGCUCAUGCCUGUAAUCCCAGCACUUUGGGAGGCUGAGGUGGGCGGAUCACUUGAGGCCAGGAGUUUGAGACCAGCCUGGCCAACAUGAUGACACCCUGACUCUACUAAAAAUACAAAAAUCAGCCAGGCGUGGUGGCGCACACCUGUAAUCCCAGCUACUCAGGAGGCUGAGGCAGGAGAAUUGCUUGGACCUGGGAGGCGGAGGUUGCAGUGAGCCAAGAUCGUGCCACUGCACUCCAGCCUGAGUGACAGAGCCAGACCCUGUUUCAAAGAAAGAAAUCAGUGUUUGUUUAGAGUUUGAAAGUUAUGAUCUCUUGUUGCUGAAUGGACUUGUGAAAUUCUGCACUAUCAGAAAUGGAGUCUGUAUUCAAAAAUAGUGGGGAUAAGGGCUGUCGUCUCAGCUGUUUUCUGUUGCUUUAACAGAAUAUCACAGAAUGGGUAAUUUUUAAUGAACAUAAAUGUAUUUGGCUUACAGUUCUGGAGGCUGGAAGGUCCAAGAGCAUGGCACUGGCAUCUGGCAAGGGUCACCCCCCUGGCAGAAGGUGAGAGAGAGAUAGAAGCAAGGACAUGAGACAUAGAGAAAAUCAGGCUGAACUCAUCACUUUGUCAGGAAAUCACUCCCACAAUAAUGAACCUACUCCUGCAAUAAUGGCAUUCAUCCAUUCAUGAGAGUGGGGCCCUCAUGACCUAAUCACCUCUUAAAGGCCCCACCUCUUAGUACUGUUAAGUUGGCAAUUAAAUCUCCAACACAUGAACUUUUGGGGGAUGCAUUCAAACAAUAGCAGCUGUAUUAGUCUGGGUUCUACAGAGAAAAAGAACCAAUAGACAAUAUGUAAAAUAGGGAAUUGGUUCACAUGGUUAUAGAGGGCAGAGAAUUCCCAAGAUCUGCAGUUGGCAAGCUAUACUUCCAGGGGAGCUGUUAGUAUAGUUCCAGUCUGGGUCCAAGUGCCUGAAAACCAGGUGAGAUGAUGAUGUUAGUUCCAGUCUGAGUCCAAGUCUGAAAGUAGGAGAAGACUGAUAGCUUAGCUUGAAAACAGGCAGAGAGAAAUAAUUUUCUCUUAUUUUGACUUUUUGUUUUAUUUGGACUUUUAUUAGAUUGGAAGAGGCCCACCUGUAUUGAGGAGGGCAGUCUACUUCACUUAGUCUAUGAAUUCAGAUAUUAACCUUAUCCAGAAACACCCUCAUAGACUCACCUAGAAUAAUGUUAACCAAGUAUCAGGAUACCUCAUGGCACAGUCAAGUUGACACAUGCAAUUAACCAUCACAAGGGUGUUGUAAUGGCUUAGCUCCAUGUGCCUACUUUGCAGUCUGUACUAAACUUCCUGGAAAAUAAUUUCUUAAAGCUAUAACCUUAAGGUACACAGUGAGGUGAUGUGAUUCCCAUAAAUUGCAAUCCCAUAAAAUUUAUUACUUAGGAUACAAAAAUAUUCUAAAGAAAGAACUGUUUCAAAGAGGCAGGAUAAAUUUUAAUCAGCUCUUGCUUUCAUACCUACUCUGCCAACCUCUCAGACCACUUCUUAUUAUAAAUUCACAUAAUUGGAGAAGGUUGAAACAGUGCCCAGGAUUCAGGAUAGUAUGUGAAGCUACUAAUCCUUUCAGUGAGCAAUUGGGCUUUCCUUCUGUACACAUUUGGGAGACAAGGUUCUCAUGGCAGCAAGUGCUAGUGGGCCUGAAUUUAAUUAUUACGAACUCUUGCAUUAGUAAGUGCAAAUGCAGCUCCAGCAGGCCAAGAAUACAGCCUUCAAUCUGUGCUCAUGCUUAAAAAUCACCAGGACCUUCAGACAUGAAGAACUCUUCAUGUUAUUAGUGUUGCCAUUUUGGAAAUGUCAAUGAUUGCUCAGAGUGUCCCAUGGAAGGUUUUGGCUCAGGGAUCUGAAGUGAGAAAAAUGGCAUUAGCUGUGUAAGCCCCCUUGUGUAGCUUGCAUGCUCUUUCUGCCUUCAUCUCCAUAUCUCUUAGGAAUAUUUUAAGCUCCUCUGGCAACUGAACAUACCUUCUAUUGACUGCAGGAUAUUAACAGGUUAUGCAAACAGAGAACCAAUGAAAUUAAUUGAAAGUAGAAAAGUUUAGUCAAACAAUUAUUUAGAGUCCAGGAGAGGGGGCUGGGAGGCAAUGGACAAUAGGGAACAGGCAUCACAAUAUCAGAUCAUAAGUUUUAAAAUUUAUUCUCCUCAGAGAACUUAUUGGAUGUGUGAACAGGUUUCUAUGAAACCAAAGCAGCCAACUGACAUGGUCGAUUCAGUCAAUUAGCACUGGCUUCUUUUCAGGCUUGUUCUCUGAGGUGCAUGUAAAUUAUGCAGGGUUCACUGCAGAAUUUUGAGCAGGUAAAAUCAUUGCACAGAGCAGUCUCUGCCCACUUUGCAGAAUUAGGAUCUGCAAAUCCUAAGACUAUGUAGUCUUAAUAAUUGCAGAAUAGUAAAUAAUUCCCAACUUUGUCAUGGGAGGGUUGGAAUAGAGAUGAAAUUCUUUCAGGUUUUGAAAACCCCAAACUGACACAAUAUGGAGCCAGAAGAGAAUGGGCUCAAUGAUCAUGAAUCCAGUUGUUAGCCUCUUUCAGCCAGAGAGAAACCUAGAAUAUGAGUAAAAAGGCUGAAACACUUACACAUUUUCUUGCAUGUGUUUAAACCAUGAGGUGAUGAUUUGUGACUAUCCCCAGUCUUCUGCCUCCUUCAGUCACAUGUCAACUCAUUUGCCUUGGGAUUCCCCUGUCAUUUUGUGCUUAUCAUUAUUAUCUCUACUUUUUAAAGCAGACAGUGUAGUUAUUUGAGCACUUGUCUUAAUUCAUUUUUCUUUUUGUAUGCAAGAAUGUUAAUAUUUAUCUUCUUAUAUUUUCUAUUCCCCAUACAGUAAAUUAUGCAUAUAUUUUGCAAAAAAAAUGAAUGAAUGUAUACCCAAUUCCAUUUGAACUAUAGUAGCCUGCAUGUAGAGCAAAAGGAAUGACCACAGCUCAUAGAGAAACAGUAUACUCAAGAAUGCUAGUAAAUUUAAAAAUAAAAAAAUCAUUAAAUUUUUUAUUUUAGGUUCAGGGCUACAUGUGCAGGUUUGUUAUAUAGGUAAUUAAUUUCGUGUCACGUGCAUUCAUUGUACAGAUUAUUUUGUCAUCCCAGUGCUAAGCCUAGUACCCAGUAGUUGUUUUUUUCUUCUCCUUUUACUCCUCCCACCCUCCCCCUACAGGUAGGAUCCAGUGUCUUUUUUCCCUCUUUGUGUCCAUGUGUUUUCAUCAUUUAGCUCCCACUUAUAAGUGAGAACAUAUGGUAUUUGGUUUUCUGUUCCUGUGUUAGCUUGCUAAGGAUGAUGGCCUCCAGCUCCAUCCAUUUUCCUGCAAAGGACACGAUCUUAUUCUUUUCUGUGGCUGCAUAGUAUUCCAUGGUGUAUAUGUGCCACAUUUUCUUUAUCCAGUCUACCUUUCAUGGGCAUUUAGGUUGACUUCAAGUCAUUGCUAUUACGCACAGUGCUGCAAUGAACAUAUGUGUGCAUGUGUCUUUAUGAGAAUGAAACAAUCAUUUUUUUAAACAAAGACUUUCAUCAUGAUACACAGAGGGACAUAGUUAUUCUUGGAAAUAUUGAACUAACAGUUCAUUAUGUGCAAGUUUAUAUGAUGGGAAGAAAAAUUCAAAAAUUUAACACUUUUGUUCUAAAUCAAUUGGCUUGGCAAAUAUCUCCUUUAUUGCAUGUCUUAAAUUUUGUCUUAUGAAACAUGCCAUGUGAACAAAAGGGUAUAUAAACUGUAUAUGUCCAGUUUGAAGAAUGAUAAUAAAAUAAACAUCCAUAUUCCCACCACCCUGGUUAAGAUAUAAAUGAUUACCAUAGAAGCCUCUUUGUGCUUUCUCUUCAGACAACCCAUCACGCACCCCUCUUCCCAGGCUCACAGACAUUAUUUCUACUUUUAACAAGGAUACAUCUAUGAAUAGGUAAUAAAUAAGGUAUUGUUUAGUGUUUUCUAGAUUGUAUAGGAUAAUUUUUUUGGAUGGAAAGAUUUAAUAUUAUAAAGAUGUCAGUUAUUUCCAGAUUAAACUAGAGACUCAGUAAGUUUCAAAAACAGUCUCAAGUAUUUUUAUGGAGUUUGAAAAUGUGAUUAUAAAAUUUAUAUAGAUAGAAAAGGGCCAGAAAGAGCCAAGACACUCUUGGAAAAGUGACAUAAGAUAUGUAUGGGUUGUGUGGGGAGCUUGCCCUACCAGAUAUCAAGACUUAUUGUAAAGCUAGAGUAGUUAAGAUCUUGUAGCACUGGGUGCAGACAUGGACAAGACCCACAGGACAACAGAAACACAAACAGAGCCAUAAUUAUAUGACAACUUGAUAUAUGACAGAAGCUGCAUUGCAGACCACAAGGAAAUCAUUAUUCAUACAAACAAAAAUGAAAUUGCAUCUCUACUUCAAACUAUAUAUAAUACUACAUUCCUAUUAAGGAUAAAUAUGAAAGUUAAGAAAGUCAAAACCAUAAACAUUUCAGAAGAAAAUACAGGAGAAUAUCUUUAUGGGGUCUGGUUGUGAAUGACUUUUUCCACAAGAUUAAUAAAAAAGGACAAAUAUAAAGGAAAAGGUUAAUACAUUCAACUGCAUUAAAAAAUAAGAACUUCUGUUCAUUGGAAGACACCAUAAAGAGAGUAAAAAGACAAACCAUAAACUGAGAAAAGAUAUCUUUCAAAAAAAUGUAAUCAACAAAGAUUUAGUAGCCUAAACAUAUAAAGACCUCCUAUGAAUCAUUAGGCAAAAGUUAAACAACUAAAUUUAAAGAUGGUCAAAAAGCAUGAAUAUAAAUUUCAAAGAAGGAAUCUAUAACCCAUAAACAGAUGAAAAGAUGCUUAGGCCAGGUGUGGUGGCUCAUGCCUAUAAUCCCAGCACUUUGGGUGGCCGAGGCAGAUGGAUCACCUGAGGUCAGGAGUUUGAGACAAGCCUGGCAAACAUGGUGAAACCUCGUCUCUACUAAAAAUGCAAAACUUAUCUGAGCAUGGUGGCACGUGCCUGUAGUCCCAGCUACUCAGGAAGCUGAGGCAGGAGAGUUGCUUGAACCUGGGAGGUGGAGUUUGCAGUGAACCAAGAUCGUGCCACUGCACUCCAGCCUGGGAGACAGAGCCAGGCCCUGUCUUAAAAAAAAAAAAAAAAAAAAAGAAAAGAAAAGAUGCUCAACUUUGUUAGUAUUCAGUGAAAUGCAAAUUGAAAUCGCAAUGAGACUGCAUUUCAUCUCUACCAGAUUGGCAAAAGUUAAUAGAAGGUUUCUCUCUACCAAGCUUUUGUAAAAAUGUGGAGAAACAAAACAGGAUCUCUCAUCCACUUCUGGUAGAGUAUAAACUGGUUCAAAACAAUGUGACACUGCUUAAUCAAUUUAAAAGCACUAUAUUACUUUAUUAAUAGAAAUAGAUGGCAGGGAAGAGGGGAAGUCCUUGGAAUUAUCAUUAGAUGUUCAUAGAAGUCAGACUGUACUGAGAAGGAAGAGAGGAAGAUCACGGUUCAUUCUUUGCUGGGAGAAUUCUCAACAGCUUUUCUGAAGCUUGGCAUUUUUGCAUGGAUCAAUUUGUUUCUUAGGGAAACGUGAAACUUCGUCAUAUCUGAGAAAUCUUUGGUGCUAACAGCUGAUUUAUAGAAUUCAAGUAAACAACUUAUUUUAAAUGUUAAGUCUUCCACAGCAUAGAUCUGCACACCAUUUGCAGGAGCUGUAUUUGUGGUUUUAGGGUUGUAUAAAGUUAGAAGCAGCAAGGAUCUUAUAGGUUGUGCUGUUGUGCUGUCUAAAAGCUCUGAUCACUUGUCCCAGAUGGGUGAGGAAUUGCAGGCCUUGUCUAGUGGGUUAUAGAUACCUUUGGUUACCAUGGUUUAGAGUCAUCUCUUCAGUCACAUUGCCUGAGUUACAAUUUGAGCUCUUCCAAAAGACCUUAAAACAGCAGUUUGGAUCUAUAUUUCUAGUAGCAAAUGUAGGAACAAAAGAACCGCAAAAAAAAAGAAAAAAUUCUUAAAGUGAUCAUCAUACUCAUAUUAUCCGCAAUAGUUUUGGUACUGUCAUUCUUGUGACUAUUGUGUAUAGAGUAGAGUAAAUUAAAAAAGUGAUUGUGUGAUCGGCGGAUUCUUUCCUUGCUGGUGUCAUUGAGAACAAAAACCACUAAGGUUUUGUCAAAAGGUUUCAGGAGACAACUUGAGUUUGGCCAAUUAUAUAACACGUGAACAUCAAUAAAGAUAACUGUAAUAAAUUUAAAUACACAUAUAAUGAAAUCCAUGAAUUUACCAUGAAACUGUUUAUAACAGUUCUGAGAAAACAAACACAUCUGCUCACCACAGAAGAAUGCUAAUGAAUUCACUCGUCACUUUGAAAACUGAUACAUAAAGGGAAAGGAUCAAUAUUUAUUUUGACGUUCCCAUGAACUAUAUCAUUGGAUAAUUGAAUAAUAGAUAUAGGGAAACAAUCUUUAUAGAAAUAUCUCUGCUAAUAAAAUAAGAAUGAUGCAAUUAGACUAUUAUCGUAUGGCCUCUCCUGAUAAACUGCUGGAUCUAGGCACUGAACAUAAUGCAGUUAACAUUAUAAAAAGAGAAAUAACCAGCCAUUACAUACCACUAACUGAAGAGUGCACCACUGCUUCUAAAGUAGUCUUCCUAAAAAAUCAAGCCUGAGUCUGAUCAAUUCCCUACAACUGCCUGGCAAUACAGGAAAUUCAAAAGAUGAAGGAAUAUAUUUAACAACAGCAAGGAGAUGUAAUCAGUGGAAUCCAGUCUAUUGGAAGUUGCACAAGGCAAGUGACCUAGUUUCCUUAAAAAUAAAUUACGAGAAAAAAAAAACAGAGAAAGAGGGCACUUAUAAAUUCAAGAGACAUCAACCAAUUGGAAAAUGUGGACCUCAUUUAGAUCUUGAUUCAAACAAGCAGGCUCUAAACGCCAAACAAAAGCACUAGCUUUCCUGUGGCUAAUUAGACGCCUAUUUAAAAAUGUACAUUUACUUAUUCCCUCUAAGCCUCAGUUUCCUCAUCUAUAUAGUGGAGACAAUAAAUAUACCUUCUUUAUAGGGCUUAAUUGAAAUGAAUGAAAUCAUGUUUGUAAAACACAAUGCCUAGUACAUUGUAAGGACUCAAUAAAUACUAUUAUUAUCACCAAAGUUGGUGUUAGAAGCUUGAUAAGCAGUUUAGUAUAUGAUUAUCAUAUUUGAAAAUUGAAAAAUUAAAAAAAAAAGAGACAAGUUGGUAAGCCAAACAGGUUGGCAAGGGGGUAGCUGGUGUAUAAGCAAGAUAGAUAUAAGUUGUAAGAAAGUGAGAAUGAGGAAUACUUGUCCAGAGUUCUGGAAUUAUCCACAGCCUUCUAACCAAGUGCUCAGAGACUCUGGUGUGGGUUUGUCAAGAGUAGAGAACAUGACUACCAAGGAGUGAACACACCCUGCAAUGCGUUACUCACUAAGGCUGGGAUUUGCUCAAGGCCUCACUUCCAGACUGUGGCAGAGCUGCGACUCAAAUCCAGAUUUCUUGACUGCUGAGUUCAGUGCUCUUUUUUCUCCACCACACCCCAUCAUCACAUACAUAUUUUAUUAAGGUCAAAAUGACAAAGAAAGUAGAGGUUUGGGUGUGAAGAACAAAUUCUGAUUUGUUUGCAAUAUUGUUAGAAGUGCUCCUGGAAUAGGAAAACAUAGUAAAGGAUGCAAAAAGAGGGAGUAGACAAUUUUGCAUUUUUCUCCUAUGCUACUUUUAUAUCUUUUAAGAUAUAAAAGACCAGAUGAAAGUUGCCAGAUGAAACUCUAUGUAUGUAAUUGAUGCAAUAGGAAUAAAAUCACAUACAAUAUCCUGAAAAUAGCCUUGUGAAUAUAAUAAUAAUAUUAUUGUGAUCAUCUUUCAGUUGAGGAAACGGGAUUAGCAAAGUUAAAUAUCAGUUGAAAUCACACAAGCAGAAGGGGGCACAGCUAGGACUUAAACCUAGCCAGCUGUCCGUUCCACCUUCACUGAGGUAACACAUAGCCUUAUAAAAGGGAAAGAGUUCUGGUAUUUUUAUGAAUAGAGAAGUAAAAUAUUACUCAUCCUUAAAAGAAACUGGAGUUUUUUUUAAGUGUUUCUCCUUGAUUUCCUUUGAGAGUAUGAUUUUUAAACCAUGAAAUAAAAUAUUCCUUAAGGGCAAAGUAAUAGUUUCAAUAAGAUUUCAGUUAUUCCUGCUUUAAGUGCUCUGUGCACCUAUUAUUUCUUUAAGGGCCUACCCAUUAAAUAAAUCUCAUUAAACACACUACCAGUAUUACAAUUACUUUUCUCAUUAUUUGCUGUUAUUACCAUUAUGGAAAUCAUAUAUAAAAAUUCUAGAAAAUUGUCUUUUCUGGUUGUUAAAAUAAAACAUUGUAUUUUAGGGAUGUCAUUUUGUGUUUGAAACUUGAUUUUAAGCUACAUGUGAGUUAAGAAACUAGAAGGGAUGAAGUCUAGACUGACCAGUGUUCAGAAACACGGAAAUAAUUUUACCAUGACUGCUAAGUCUUUGUCUCAAGAUAAGUCAUUUUAUUCUCACUUGUGGUUAAAGAGAACUUUACAGAGAAAAACUGUAGACAGACUAUAGAUGUUACGUCUCUCAAGGCAUUUCUUCUCAUCGUCUUUUUCUUAGAAGACCAUCAAAUAGCAAAGUCAUGAAAUCAACCUAGGUACCCAUCAACAGUGGAUUGGAUAAAGAAAAUGGGGUGCAUGCACAAUGCAAUGCUUUGUAGUCAUAGAAAAGAAUAGAAAAGAACGCAGCUGGAGGCCAUUAUCCUAAGUGAAUUAACACAGGAACAGAAAACAAAAUACUGUAUGUCCUCACUUAAAAGCAGGAGCUAAACAUUGGGUACUCAUGAACAUAAAGAUGGCAACAACAGACACUGGGGACUCCUAAUGGGAGGGAGGGAGGUGAGUAUUAAAAAACAGUUGGGUAAUAUGCUCAGUACUUGGGUGACAGGAUCAUUUGUCCCCCAAACCUCAGCAUCAUGCAGUAUACCCAGGUAACAAACCUGCACAUGUACCCCCUAAAUCUAAAAUAAAAGUUGAAAAAAAAAAAAGACCAUCAAAACUUUAAGAGACAUUUUUUGGCUUUGCUUUUUUGCUUUGGCCUGAUGAUGUUACAGAAUCCCCCAGGGUGCAAGAGAAAAACCUUAAUUAUAGAAUGAGAAUUAGAGAAGAUUGUUUUGAUUUAUUUAUUUAUUUAGAGAUGGAGUUUCGCUCUUGAUGCCCAGGCUGGAGUGCAGUAGCACAAUCUCGGCUCACUGCAACCUCCACCUCCCGAGUUCAAGCGAUUCUCCUGCCUUAGCCUCCUGAGUAGCUGGGAUUACAGGUGCCCGCUGCCACACCUGGCUAAUUUUGUAUUUUUAAUAGAGACAGGGUUUCUCCAUGCUGGUCAUGCUGGUCUUGAACUCCUGAUCUCAGGUGAUCUGCCUGCCUCGGCCUCCCAAAGUGCUGGGAUUACAGGCAUGAGCCACCACGCCUGGCUGAGAAGAUUGUUUACAUGGGAGAGAAACUCUUCCAAGAUUCUUUUUGAUAGCUCAUGGAUCACUACUAUUUACAAAAAAAAAAUACUGUUUUUUUUUGUCUCUUACUUUUGUACAUCUUCAUGCUAUCUAACAAGCCCUUUUUUGUUUUUUGAGAUAAAGUUUCGUUCUUGUCCCCCAGGCUGGAGUGCAAUGGCACAAUCUUGGCUCACCGCAAUCUCUGCCUCCCGGGUUCAAGCGAUUCUCCUGUCUCAGCCUCCCGAGUAGCUGGGAUUACAGGCAUGUGCCACCAUGCCUGGCUAAUCUUUGUAUUUUUAGUAGAGAUGGGGUUUCACCAUGUUGGUCAGGCUGGUCUCGAACUCCUGACCUCAAGUGAUCCACCUGCCUUGGCCUCCCAAAGUGUUAGGAUUACAGGCGGGAGCCACUGCGCCCAGCCAAACCAUUUUUUGUGCUAUAUAUUUCCAGGGAUUGAUGUAGACUGAAUCCUCAAGUCUUGGCACCUCUGCACGAUUGAGAUUUGUCAUGGAUGGUUCAGAAAUAAUUUAAAAACAUCAACCUAUGUCAUAUUGGGAUCAAGUUUACGAAAGGGAUCUAUGGAUGUGAAUGAAAAGUACUUUAAUUCUAUCAUGAUUAAAUAUCUUUAACUCCCAGAUCAUUGUCACUUCAGCCUAAAAAGUCAGUGUAGGACUUUUCACAAAAUAACAUUACUCACAGAAUUCCAACUUGUCAUAGGUAUUACAAGUAUCAUUGAAUCCUCUGGGUAAUAAGACCUAGUGCCAGAGCCAUUGGCACUGCAGCCUGUACCAGCUACAGACUUUCUUUAAUUCUGGACUCCAGUGCAAAGUUUCAUCCUUGAUAAAUGAAUCAGAGCAACACACUCAAAUAUGCCGUCUGUUGAUUUCAAAAUUGGCUCACUCAAGUAUCAGGCCUCUUCUGUAUUAAAUUUUUUAAAAAAUGCUUUCAUUUUUAUAGAUUCAGGGGGUACGUGUGCAGGUUUGUUAUAUGGAUAUAUUGCAUAGCAGGAGUGGGGUUUGGGCUUCUAGUGUAUUCAUCAACUGAAUAGUGAACAUUGUACCCAAUAAGUAAUUUUUCAACCCUCACCCUCCUCCCACCUUAUCCCCUUUUGGAGUCCCCAGUGUCUAUUAUUUCCCUCUGUAGGUCCACGUGCACACAUUGUUUAGCUCCCACUUACUAGUGAGAACAUGCGAUAUUUGAUUUUCUGUUUCUGAGUUAUUUCACUUAGGAUAAUGGCCUCUGGUUCCCUCCAUGUUGCUACAAAAGACAUGAUUAAAUUUUUAUGGCUGUGUCAUGGUGUAUUAUGUAUGAUGUAUUUUCUUUAUCUAAUCCACUGUUGAUGGAUACUUGGGUUGAUUCCAUGACUUUGUUAUUGUGAAUAGUGCUGUGAUAAACAUACAAGUGCAGGUGUCUUUUUGAUAUAACAGUUGAUUUUCCUUUGGAUAGUACCCAGUAGUGGGAUUGCUGGAUCAAAUGGUAGCUCUAUUGUUAGUUCUUUGAGAAAUCUCUACACUGUUUUCCAUAUAGGUUAUACUAAUUUACAUUAGCACCAGCAGUGUCUAAAUGUUCCCUUUUCUUGCUAGUAUCUGCUAUUUUUUGUGUUUUUAAUAAUAGCCAUUCUGACUGCUGUGAGAUGGUAUCUCAUUUUGGUUUUAUUUGCAUUCCUCUGAUUAUUAGUGAGGUUGAGCAUUUUUUCAUAUGUUUGUUGUGGGCCUCUUUUGUACUGAUAGGGGGUAUAUGGUAGAGCAACUUGUCUUUCACUUUGGAGACGAUAUCCAGCCCAGACUACUGGACUUCCGGAAAGUUCACCGAGUUGAAUCUUCUUGGAGUUUAUUGCCCAUCCUCUGUUACAACUAUGUCUUGCCAAGGCAUUUAGGCGGCCUGCUACUUCUUGCUCACCAGGUUCUAUCAGUAUUAUGUAAUUGGUGGAGCAGUCCAGCAUGACAUUCUAUGAGAUGGUAAGACAACCGAGGUCCCUGUGAACAAAAUUAUAGCCAAAGAUUGGAUAGCUGAUGUGGCCCUGAAGCAAGAGAGUGAAAUUAUACUCCUGACUGAAAAGUGCAAGGAAACCACUUCUAAAAAUUUCUGCUUCAUACUUUAGAAAACAAAGCAUUUUCGAGAUGAGCACUGCAUGCCAGGUGCUUCAGUAUGUAUUGGUUUGCUCUAGUAAAAAGACUACAUCUGGCAAGUGCAGUGGUUCCUACCUGUAAUCCCAGCACUUUGGGAGGCCAAGGUGGAAGGAUCUCAUGAGGCUAGGAGUUCAAGACCAGCCUGGGCAACGUAGCAAAACUCUCUCCAUAAAUAAAAAAUUAGCUAAGUGUGGUGGCACAUGUCUAUAGUGCCAGCUACUUGGGAGGCUGGGGUAGGAGGAUCACUUGAAUCCAGCAGUUUGAGACUGCAGUGAGCCAUAAUCACACCACUGCUCCAGCCUGGGUGACAGAGUGAGACCCUAUCUCAAAAAUAACUAACUAACUAAAUAAAUAAAUAAAUAAAUAAAUAUAAAAGAGACUACAUCUGGAAUAAAAGAUUAAUUUUCUGAUUGAGUUUGUGAUAAUUUACCAUUCUUCUUCAAGACCUUUCUGUCUUUUUAUUAUUUUUUAUUUUUUUUGAGACGGAGUCUCGCUCUGUCACCCAGGCUGGAGUGCAGUGGUGCGAUCUUGGCUCACUGCAACCUCCGCCUCCCAGGUUGAAGCGAUUCCCCUGCCUUAGCCUCCCAUGUAGCUGGGAUUACAGGUGCCUGCCACCAUGCCUGGCUAAUUUUUGUUUUUUUAGUAGAGACAGGGUUUCACUAUGCUGGCCAGGGUGGUCUUGAACUCCUGAUCUUGAGUGAUCCGCCUGCCUUGGGCUCCCAAAGUGCUGGGAUUACAGGUGUGAGCCACUGUGUCCAGCCAAGACCUUUCUGUCUUUUGUGAAAGCCAAUCCAAGAGUCAAAUGGGGAUGCUAAGAAUGAUCAUUUCUGCAUCUUUCAAGUUUUUGACAUUAGCGGUAAUUUCUGCAGCUCCCCAGGAAUGUGGUUUUGGUUCCAGUUUACUAUCGUCAUAGGGAUAUGGGGCUCUACAGCCCUCCUUUAGGCUCUGCCUGCACACUAGUCAUCAUGCCAUAGACCAGGAACCCAUGUAGAAACCCAUGUAGAUGUUCCAGUGGUUGCUGAGCAUGUAUAGUUCAACUAUCUAUUCUUGGGGAAAAUAACCACAGAAAGGAUUUGCAUAUUAAGUGAGCCCUUUAUGAAACAGACUGAGGCAAAAACUUAUUAUACAACCUACAUAAGCACUGGUAGAUAUCAGGAUAUUCUUGGGGAUAAAAAAUAGCUCUGAACCAGUGUCCAAUAAUCCCUGAAAGGUCUGGUUGUAUUACUGAGCAAAACAGGCUCACUGCUCGAUGCUCUAGAAGCCUGUACUAUGACACCACGGUUUUGAGAAAAGAAAAGCUUUUUAUUGCAAGUCGACUCACAAGGAGACAGGAGUCAAGCUCAAAUCUAUCUCCCUGUGCUGGUUUCACAGCAGUAAUUUUAUUAGAAAAGGUUUAGGGGCUGGAUUCUGGGAUUAGCAGGUGAUUGGUGGAAGGAAAGAGGUCUAGAAAGUCCUCAGGCAUGUAUAGCCAUCUCUUCUUGCCUCCUUAUUGGUCUCAUGUGUAAAUUUGGAGGGAGCUGGUAUGAAGCAUGGAAAUUCAGGCUAUGAUGUCAGCAAGUUUGUUUUGUGCAAACUUAUGCAGCUAUAGUGGUUUCAACUGAUUUCAGCCAGUUUUGUUAUCUUACAAAGGAGAGAAGUUUCAGUGUUUCAGCAAGUUGUUUCUUUUCUUAUCUGCCAUCCUGCAAACUCAAGAAUUUCUACUAGUUUUUUUUUUUUUUUUAACUUUGGGGCACAGUUUCAGUCAUUCCCUUUUCUCCUGGGUACAGUCAUUCCAGGAAGUGGUGGCACUUUCCUUUGGGGAAGAGCAGACAAUUUACAAAACAUAAUAUUGCAUGGACCUUCCUCCAUGGUGCAAUCUUCUCUUUAUUCAUGUGCCUCUGGGAAAUGAUUAGUUCUGGAAUUAGAUGAAGGUCUCAAAUCAUCUAUUUUCCUGGUUUACAGUUUCAGUUCAGUUAUAGAAAUCAAUUAGGAUGUUAGAGGAUAGGCCAUUUAUUUGGAUUCUAGGGACCUUGUAAUCAGUUAUCCACUGUCAAACCAUUCUGAUUACCAUGAGCCUUGCUGCCUGGUAUGGUGACUAUGUCUGCUCUACUUCUGGCAGUUAGGUAGUGAUAUUUAUCCUCUGCCUGGCCUCAAUCCCAUCAUCUCCAUGGAAAUAAGAGAGCUCAUUACAAUGGCAGUAUCUCUCAACCUUAUCCAUGGCCAAUGGAGUGAAGCCAACAUAGCACUUUUCAAGAAUCGCAGGGCUUCCCAACUAUGUAUUUCUCAAAACUGAGGUGAAUAGACAAUUCUCAAAAGAAGAUAUACAAAUGGCCAACAAACAUAUCAAAAAAUGCUCAACAUCACUAAUGAUCAGGGAAAUGCAAAUCAAAACCAGUGUGAUACCACCUUACUCCUGCAAGGAUGGCCAUAAUAAAAAAGUCAAAAAACAGUAGAUGUUAGCAUGGAUGCAGUGAUCAGGGAACACUUCUACACUGCUGGUGGGAAUGUAAACUAAUAAAGCCACUAUAGAAAACAGUGUGGAGAUUCUUAAAGAACUGAAAGUGGAGCUACCAUUUGAUCCAGCAAUCCCAAUAUUGGGUAUCUACCCAGAGGAAAAGAAGUCAUUAUACAAAAAAGAUACAUGCACACGCAUGCUUAUAGCAGCACAAUUCACAACUGCAAUAAUUCUGAAAGGUCUGGUUGUAUUACUGGGCAAAAGGGGCUCACUGCCCAAUGCUCUAGAAGCAUGGAACCCACCUAAAUGCCCGUAAAUCAACAAGUGGAUAAAGAAACUCUGGUAUAUAUAUAUAUACACAUACACACACACACACACACACACACACACACACACACACACACACACCAUGGAAUGCUAUUCAGCCAUAAAAAGGAAUGAGUUAAUGGCAUUUGCAGUGACCUGGAUGAGAUUGGAGACUAUUAUUCUAAGUGAAGUAACUCAGGAAUGGAAAACCAAACAUUGUAUAUUCUCACUGAUAUGUGGGAGCUAAACUACAAGGAUGCAAAGGUAUGAGAAUGAUACAAGGGAAUCCAGGGACUUGGCGUGAAGGGAGGGAGGAGGCGAGGGAUAAAAGAAUACAAAUAGGGUGGAGUGGAUACUGCUUGGGUGAUUGGUGGACCAAAAUCUCACAGAUCACCACUAAAGAACUUACUCAUGUAAUCAAACACCACCUGUACCCCAAUAACCUAUGGAAAAAAAAAACUGUGAUGAAAGGAGAGCCUGCUGACCCUACUAGGAUGGGUAAGCAAGUCACUUGUGAUAAAUCCAUUUCCGUACAUUUCCUCCCUCUUUAUCAUGUCCAGGAAUUUCUACUAUCUUACUAUUGUUUUGUGUAGACCACACUGAGUCUAUGUUUCAGCCAACUGGAACAUACAUAUGAUAGAAGUGGAGAACAAGGAAGACUGCCAUCCAUUUGUUGGUAGCUGCCACAGGCAAUGUUGUUUUAGGGUAUUUGAGCAAGGCAUGGCCAGACAGUUCUCCCACCAGACUGGGAGAACUCACAUUUUCUACUGAUAAGGGGGCUCAUUAGUCUUUCGAAUUUAUAGAAAAUGAAGUUAUUAAAUUCUGCCAAAUAUUGUCAUUUAAAUUAUCGGGUGCCACACUUUUGCAGUCUUUCAUGUAAGAAAUGUGUUGAAACUGGAAUUUAAGCCAAGAAAUAUCUAGCAUCCUGUGGGAUAAGUGUCAGUUUGAUUUGAGCUUAUGUAAAGCCCAUAGCCAGAAGACAUGAGAUACAUUUAGGGCAUAGAAGCUAUAGGUUUUUUGACCAUGCUUUGAAAAUGAUACCCAGGAGGGCCUAGAAUAACAUCAUUUUGUUCAAUGUUCUGUCCAAAGUUGUAUCAUUAUAAUGUUGUUGAAAGAAAGUUGGUUACAUUUUAUGGUAUUUUAUUGCAAGUUCCAAGAACCUAUUGAUGACCACAAGUGAAGGCUUACUGUAUAUGUAUAUUACAUUAUUAUUUUGCCCAUUGCCCACCUCCAACCCACUAAUGCGAGAAUAAGAAAUUGUUAUCUCUUUUCUUCACACCUGUAUACUCUGCUCAGAAAAGCACUUGGAUCACAGUAGGUACUCAAUAAAUAGUUGGUGAAAUAAUGAAUAAAUAGUCCUUGUUUUUAUGAUGUUUAUAUCAAAUGGAGGAGAAAGACAUUAAACAUUCAUAUAUAAUCUCUUAAUUAAAAUCUAAAUUUGAAUCUGUUCUAAGUUGUGUUGAAUUGUUCUAUUGUCAAUUUGAUUAACCUAGAAAUUAUUUUUUCCAGAAUUCCUUUCUCUGUGGGUCGUGGACCCACAGAGGCAAGCUCCCCUUUGCUGUCACUUUAGCAGCUUAACAUAUUUGGUUUCUUGGAUUUCCUUGGAGGCUCUUUCUCACCUAUGCCAUUGCUUAAGGAGAACUAAUUAAUAACUUUUUUUUUUCUUUUUUUAGACAGAGUCUCACUCUGUCGCCCAGGUUGUAGUGCAAUGGUGCAAUCUCGGCUCACUGCAACCUCCGUCUCCCAGGUUCAAGCGAUUCUCCUGCCUCAGCCUCCUGAGUAGCUGGGAUUAUAGGCGCCUGCCACCACGCCUGGCUAAUUUUUGUAUUUUUAGGAGAGACAGGGUUUCAUCAUGUUGGCCAGGGUUUCAUCAUGUUGGCCAGGGUGGUUUCAAACUCCUGAUGUCAAAUGAUCCUCCUGCCUUGGCCUCCCAAAGUGCUAGGAUUACAGGCGUGAGCCACCAUGCCUGGCCAAUAACUCUUUUCUAAUCCUCCAAUUACCCACUUCCAGAAUUCACAUAAGUCCCACCUUUAAUUAUGUAAUGUCUAAUUCCUAUUCUAAAUGCUUUAUCCCAUAACACUCAUAGCCAAUUCUUUCGGGAGAUAAACUAAGAAAUCAGCAAUCUUUCAAAUCCUGUGUAGAAAAUAGUCUGUGUUGAAUUUUUUGAGAGUGGUAUGUCUGUCUCAAGUACAGCAAUUCCUGAAAUAUUUUCUUGGGUACUUUUGACUAUUUGCCUCUUUUGCCUGACAGACUGAUACUAGAUAUUCAUCUCCAUGCAAGAGGGAAAAUGUGAUGUAGCUGAGUGGGUGAGAUCAUUUAUGAAAAAGAAUAUUGGGAGAAAUGAGAGCCUCUAUGACAAAUCCUUGAGACACUCCAAAACUUCUUUACCAGACAAUGAAGAAUAAAUUUGAAAAGCAGGCGCAGAGUGGCUAGAGAGGCUGAAGGAGAGGCAGGAAGGUGUUGUGUCUUGAAAGUCAAGGAAAUGUUGUGAAGGGUGGUGUAGAAACUUAUGCUUCAGUAACUUCGACAUAUUAGUUUUUUUUUGCAAGAGUAUACCUUCAAAUUAAAAAAGAUAAGAGUUUUCAUUAAGAAAGUUUUAUUCCAUAGUUGGACUGUCAUAAAGUGAGGAAAUCUUCAAGGUUCAAAGAAAAGAAAAAGAAGAAAACAAUGUAAGCUUAAACUAAAAUGGUGAACAAAGAACAUAUUUAAAGAGAUCUCCCACAGGGCUUUUACACAAUGUGCAUAGCUUUUCUUUGUAAAUAUGUUUCCCUGAGAAAUGUUAAUAUAUCCUUAGGCUUAUAGAAAAAGUGCUUCAGGCAAGUGACAAAAUGAGGGAAUGGAACUCAAGACUUCCAGAUGUAACCCAUGAAAUUGGGAAUGAACUGGAAUGAUCUCAGAUAGGUAGAACCGUUGGCUUUAGGAGAAGCAAAACGAAAUACUAUCCAGAGAAAUAUAUUCUCAAUGGAGACUCCAGGUUUUCCACAAGUUAAAAUCAACCAUUGUAAUUGUUAACCCCCUUAGCCCAACUUGACUGGUCGAAAAGAUACCCAGAUAGUUGGUAAAACAUUAUAUCUGGAUACAUCUGUGAGGAUAUCUCCAGAAGAGGUUGACAUUUCAAUCAGUAGAUGAAGUAAAGAAGAUCCGCAUUCACUAAUGUGAGCAGGAAUCAUCCAAGCUUUUAGGGGCCCAAAUAGAACAAAAAAGGUGGAGGAAGGGCAAAUUUUUUACUGGCUUGAGCUGAGAAAUCCAUCUUCUCCUGCCCUUGGACACCAGUGCUCCUGGUUCUUGGGCUUUCAGACAUAGAUUGGGAUCUACACCAUUGGCCUCCUGAUUUUCAGGCCUUCAGACUUGGACUGAGUUACACCACUAGCUUUCCUGGUUCUCAACUUGCAGACAGCAGAUUGUAGAACUUCCUGGCCUCCAUAACUAAUAUGUUUUUGCUGUGUCCCCACCCAAAUCUCAUCUUGAAUUGUAAUCCAAAUUGUAAUCCCCACCUGUCAAGGGAGGGACCUGGUGAGAGGUGAUUGGAUCAAGGGGGCAGUUUCCCCCAUGGUAUUCUCAUGAUAGUGAGUAUGUUUUCAUGAGAUCUGGUUGUUUGAUAAGUAUCUAGAACUUCCCCCUUCUCUCUCUCUCUCUCUCUCUCUCUCGCUCUCCUGGCACCUUGUGAAUAAUGUACUUCUCCUUUGCCUUCUGCCAUGAUUGUAAGUUUCCUGUAGCCUUCCCAGUCAUGCAGAACUGUGAGUCAAUUAAACCUCUUUCCUUUUAAAUUACCCAGUCUCAGGCAGUUCUUUAUAGCACUGUGAAAACAGACUAAUGCAGAAACUGUGUGAACCAAUUUCCAUAAUAACACUCCUUAUGUGUGUGUGUGUGUUCACAGACACAGAUAUACCCCAUUGUAUCCCAUUGGUUGUGUUUCUCCAGAGAAUCCUGAAUAAACAACCAUCAUGAGCUCACAAAUCAUCUUGAGGGAGAGAAACAACAGAUUUAAUUCCUCAAGAAUUUUAGGUAAUAAAACUAUUAUCUAUGUAUGUGAGAUAACUAUACAUAUUAGCUUUCUGUUGCUGCUAUAAGAUAUUACUGCAAAACUUAGUGAGUUAAAACACCACCAAUCUAUUCUCUUACAGUUCUAGACUUCAGAAGUCUAAAAUUAAGAUGUUGUAUGGGAUAUGUUCCUCUGGAAGCUUUAGAGGAAAAUAUAUUUCUUUGCCUCUUCUAGCUUCUAGAGACUACUUACAUUUCUUGGUUUAUGGCUCCCUCCUCCAUUUUCUAAGUGUAUGACUACAACUUCUGGCUCCCUUGUCACAUUUAUUUUUUCUGACUUUGCUUUUUUACCUUCUUCUUAUAAGAACCCUCGUGAUUAUAUUGGAAUAUAAAUAUAGAUAAUACCAGAUAAUUCAGGAUAGUCUCCAAUUUCAAGAACCUUAGUGACAUCUACAAAGUCUCUUUUGCCAUGUAAGGUAGCAUAUUUAAAGUUUCUGGGGGAUUUGAAUGAGGACAUCAUUGGCGAUGGAAGCUUUAUUUUGUCUUCCACACUAUGCAUGAAUGUUUAAAGAAUUUUUUUUAAAAUGGAAAAAAAGAUAAACAUCAUGGCAAUAUAUACAAGUAAUCAUGUAGAUGUAAAAAGAAGCAGAUAAAAAUUAAAAAUAAAAUGUAAUCAUCAAUUAAAAAAAAAACUUAAGGGAUGGACCAAACAACAGAGUAGAUGUGGCUGAAGAAAGAAUUAGUGAACUGAAAGACAGAGCUGAAAACUUUCAGAAUGUCACACAGAAAGCUGAAAUGGAAAAUAUGAGAGAGGUUAAUAGAUAUGGAGAAGAGAAUGAGAGUGCCUAACAUACUUGUAUUUGAAGCCCUAGGAAGAAAAAAUAAAAAUAUUGAAGGAGAGGCAAUAUUUGAAAGCAUAAAUUUGAGAAUUUUCUAGAACUGAUACUAUAUAAGCCACAGAUACAGGAAAGAUAAUAUUUACCAAGAAGAAUAAAGUGAAAAGAAAUCUACCCCUAGUUAUAAAGUUGAGCAACUGCAGAACAUCAAUGACAAAGAGAUCUAAGAUGUAGCCAUGUAGAAAAGACAAAUUAUAACCUUCUUUCCCCUCCAAAAGACUUAGAAUAGGCUUUUUUAAAACCUGAAAAAAUGGAAGUCAGAAUAAUUGCAUAUG